UGCAGGCAAAGACACCAAUGGCUCA
rnacentral:piRNA from 1 species